AAUGAAACUAGAUACAAGCGAGCGGCGGACGGGUGAGUAACACGUGGGUAACCUGCCCAAGAGACUGGGAUAACACCUGGAAACAGAUGCUAAUACCGGAUAACAACACUAGACGCAUGUCUAGAGUUUGAAAGAUGGUUCUGCUAUCACUCUUGGAUGGACCUGCGGUGCAUUAGCUAGUUGGUAAGGUAACGGCUUACCAAGGCAAUGAUGCAUAGCCGAGUUGAGAGACUGAUCGGCCACAUUGGGACUGAGACACGGCCCAAACUCCUACGGGAGGCAGCAGUAGGGAAUCUUCCACAAUGGACGAAAGUCUGAUGGAGCAACGCCGCGUGAGUGAAGAAGGGUUUCGGCUCGUAAAGCUCUGUUGGUAGUGAAGAAAGAUAGAGGUAGUAACUGGCCUUUAUUUGACGGUAAUUACUUAGAAAGUCACGGCUAACUACGUGCCAGCAGCCGCGGUAAUACGUAGGUGGCAAGCGUUGUCCGGAUUUAUUGGGCGUAAAGCGAGUGCAGGCGGUUCAAUAAGUCUGAUGUGAAAGCCUUCGGCUCAACCGGAGAAUUGCAUCAGAAACUGUUGAACUUGAGUGCAGAAGAGGAGAGUGGAACUCCAUGUGUAGCGGUGGAAUGCGUAGAUAUAUGGAAGAACACCAGUGGCGAAGGCGGCUCUCUGGUCUGCAACU
rnacentral:rRNA from 1 species